rnacentral:tRNA from 1 species
GGGCGGGUAGCUCAGCGGUAGAGCGCUGGCCUUACAAGCCGGUGGUCGCAGGUUCAAUCCCUGUCCCGCCCA